UACGGAGGGUGCAAGCGUUAUCCGGAUUUACUGGGUUUAAAGGGUGUGUAGGCGGACUUUUAAGUCAGCGGUGAAAUCUCCGGGCUCAACCCGGAAACUGCCAUUGAUACUAUGAGUCUUGAAUGUUGUUGAGGUGGGCGGAACGGGUCAUGUAGCGGUGAAAUGCAUAGAUAUGACCCGGAACACCGAUUGCGAAGGCAGCCUACUAAGCAAUUAUUGACGCUGAGGCACGAAAGCGUGGGGAUCAAACAGG
rnacentral:rRNA from 1 species